rnacentral:rRNA from 1 species
UACGAAGGGUGCAAACGUUGCUCGGAAUUAUUGGGCGUAAAGCGCACGUAGGCGGCUUGGCAAGUCGGAUGUGAAAUCCCUCGGCUCAACCAAGGAAGUGCAUCCGAAACUGCCGAGCUUGAGUACUUAAGAGGAUCGCGGAAUUCCCGGUGUAGAGGUGAAAUUCGUAGAUAUCGGGAGGAACACCAGUGGCGAAGGCGGCGAUCUGGGAAGAUACUGACGCUGAGACGCGAAAGCGUGGGGAGCGAACAGG